UAUCUGUAAAUUUUUUGAUGAUGAAAGGAAUGUUUAUCAUUGUCCUUUCUGCAAUUUAUGCCGUGUUGGAAAUGGACUUGGUGUUGACUUCUUUCAUUGCAUGAAGUGUAAUUGCUGCCUGGCAAUGAAGUUAGUGGAUCACAAAUGCCGAGAGAAAGGUCUGGAAAUAAAUUGCCCCAUCUGCUGUGACUUUUUGUUCACAUCAAGCUUAAGUGUUAAAGCUCUUCCUUGUGGCCAUUUCAUGCAUUCAAAUUGCUUUCAGGCAUAUACUUGCAGUCACUAUAUCUGCCCAAUUUGUAGCAAAUCUUUGGGAGAUAUGUCAGUGUACUUUGGCAUGCUUGAUGCACUAUUGGCUUCUGAGGAGCUCCCAGAAGAA
rnacentral:misc_RNA from 1 species